GCCUUCUCUCCUGAAGGACUGAACGAGAUGUGGAACGAGAUGGUGAAGGAUGGAGAGAUUGUCUUUGACCGAGAAGAGUCCGCCCAUCCAGAGGACUGUGCUGAUUGCACCCAAAAGAAAGAUGAU